rnacentral:lncRNA from 1 species
CUAAUACCCAGUGGAGUGCAUUAACUCUUAUGAUUGCUUAAAUUGAUUUUACUGUUUUAUCAGUUACUAUUGAACAAAUGAAAGGAUGCUGAUGAAGCAGUGUACUGUAGGCUUGUCUGCAAAGUUUCUCUUGGAGUCAUCUCCAUAUGAAUGAUUUCAUACAGCACAGAAAUAGUUUUAUGUAGAUAUUGACCUUGGAAAGAAACAAAACCAUGGCUUGGUAUUGAGGUUAGGUACAUGGAUCACGAAUUGCCCUGCAAAGAGAAGGCUCUAAUGAGGGUGUCACCAGCCUGCGUCCUCCAUGUUGGUGUGUGGUGGCCACGGCCGGCUGGCAGGUGCUGCGGAGCUGCACCCUCCCCUCCUCAGCAGGUCGGGCAGAAACCAAAGUGGAAAAGUCUGUGGUAGAGAGGAAGCCAGGAAGAUGGCUUAGCAGUUACUGGCAUGUGCAGAUAGACUCAGCUUGGGGACAAUUAGUUUAUUGCCAAUUAAAACCAGAUUGGCCCAGUCAUGGCCUGAGGUGGGGCUGUUGGCACCUGCUGUGACAGGUCUGGGGCAGCUGCGGCCUGUCCUCACAGCACCCUGCAGGCCGCAGUGCGUCAGCACCCCAAAUACUGUGGUGAAACAGGAAGAUUUAAUGUACAACAGAGAGCAAGGACAACUUGUCCCUAGCCCUGUUAGAGGGCAAACAGGAGAUGUUAAAGGAGAAGACCAGUUCAGAAGGAGCAGCUCUAGAGAAGGUGAUGGAAAGAUGCAGUGGCCUUGUGGAAAAAACAGUGCAAGGAAAGAUUGACUCCAAGCAUAUUGCAGAGAAGUGUGAUUGAGGAAGGCAAGGUGAAAUCUCUGUGUUUCCUGGAGCUGGAAGUCAAGAGAAGGCUACUAGUUU